rnacentral:rRNA from 1 species
UACGUAGGGGGCAAGCGUUGUCCGGAAUUACUGGGCGUAAAGGGCGUAUAGGCGGUUUUUUUAAGUCAGAGGUGAAAGGCUGCGGCUCAACCGUAGUAAGCCUUUGAAACUGGGAAACUUGAGUGCAGGAGAGGAGAGUGGAAUUCCUAGUGUAGCGGUGAAAUGCGUAGAUAUUAGGAGGAACACCAGUUGCGAAGGCGGCUCUCUGGACUGUAACUGACACUGAGGCACGAAAGCGUGGGGAGCAAACAGGAUUAGAUACCCCUGUAGUCCCUGAG